UUUUUAAAGAUAAAAAUAAUAUUAAUAAAAUAUGUAAUUUUUAUAUAAUUGCUUGUUAUAAAAACGAUUUUUCUAAUGACUUAUAGAACAAAUUAUACUUCAUUAUCUAUUUAUAAACUUCUUGAAAAAACUGAUCAACCUGGUAUAAAUAUAUAAUAUUUACUAAACGUUCUAUUUAAACAGAGUAUGUAAUGUAUUGGAUUGAGAAAAAAUUUUAAAUCUAAAAUGCACAUGACUAAAAGUGUCAAUAAAAACCGAAUAAAUGUUUGACGAUUUUAAUAUUUUAAACGAUAUUAUUUAUGAUAUUUGAAUAAAAGCUUAAAUCAAAUAAAUAUAUACGUGUAAAUCGAUAUUACAUAGUACCAUAAUAAAUAUUAAUAACUGUAGAUUUAUGACACCUAGUAAAAUAAAACAAUAAUUUACUUACUUGAAGAAUGAAAUCAAUAAUCCUGGAUAAGUGAUAUUCCUACGCGUUGUGUUCUGGAACUGUUCGACUUUUACACUGCUAUUGAGUUAUUAAUUCACCAUCAGGCGGAGGAUAUGUUAGUGGUGAAUCGACAUUCCUGAGCCGAAUCACACGAAUUUCAAUGCAUGAUUGGCAACCGUCGUUUCGCAGCACGAAUUCUCAUUUCACUUCAAGACCCUCGUCAUGGCAUAAUCCCUAGAAUUUGUAUCGGUUCAACUCGUCCAUUGCCUAAUGCUCGUACUUUCAAGACGUAUAAUAUGAUCUUUGAUUAUACGUCAGCUCUAUACAAUGACCCAACAAAUCCAAAUUAAACGGGUGUUAAGGUUCCGCACAGUUACACCAUUUACAAAGCGGAUGUUUAUUUAUUUUCCAUUAACAUGAGGAACAAUUCAAAUUUCAAACAUAAGAUAUAUUAUUCAAACUUUUAUAGUUUUAGUUAACACAUUUUGAAGAGGAAAAUAGAUUGUUCACGCAGUAAUA